rnacentral:rRNA from 1 species
UACGGAGGUGGCAAGCGUUAUUCGGAUUUAUUGGGCGUAAAGGGCGCGUAGGCGGUUUUGUAAGUCAGAUGUGAAAGCCCGGGGCUCAACCCCGGAAGGGCAUUUGAUACUGCGAGGCUUGAGUAUGGGAGGGGGAAGUGGAAUUCCUGGUGUAGAGGUGAAAUUCGUAGAUAUCAGGAGGAACACCAGUGGCGAAGGCGACUUCCUGGACCAAUACUGACGCUGAUGCGCGAAGGCGUGGGGAGCAAACAGG